rnacentral:snRNA from 1 species
AUACCUUUCUCGGCCUUUUGGCUAAGAUCAAGUGUAGUAUCUGUUCUUAUCAGUUUAAUAUUUGAUAUCUGGGCCAUCGGCCUAGUCGAUAUUAAUCUUAUUUUUUUAGGGGGAAGCCUAUCACACUAGCUUGCUAGUGGGGUUCUUCAUGUGUCGCCUUUGCGUUGCACUAUUGCAUAGGCUUGGCACACCCCUC